rnacentral:lncRNA from 1 species
GCUAUUAGGAAAGUUUGAAAGUCCGAUGGACUUCAUGUUCAUGGACUUGGAGAGGCAGUCCGGGAGUCCAUUCUCCCCCUUAAAAGCUAUGUAGUCAAGAAGGUCAAUGCCGACACGAUCAACAAAUUAUCAGGAAAGAACCUGGAAUUAGACCUUCAGGAAACCCAUAUUCAUGUGUGAAAUGGAAAAAUAUUCUCGCCUAGAGCUCAGGGGUGUCUUGAGAAGUUUCUGCCCUGUCCCUGUGGAAUAUACAAGACACAAAGGUUCUCUAAUGGUGCCUUCAGCCAAGAAUGUACUGAGCUUUAUCCCAAACAUGGAACCUCACAUAGCAUCACAUUGAACCAAUGGACUCUGUGCAGUAAAAGAAAGAUGCUGUGGAUUAUAGAAAGAGUCAGAUAUGCAGCUUUACGAUCCACUGGUCACCAUCAUAAGCCACCACACUCAGUGGUCCUGGAAAGAUGAUGGAAGGGUUCCACUAAAAAAACAUCCAGGAGAUGCAGCUUAAGGAAUAUGGCUCUUAUGUUUCAUAGUACAAUGUAUCACCUAUAUUUACCUCAUGGUAUAGUUGUCUCUUCUGAAUACACAGUCCAAUAUGUAAUUAGUAGAAGUAAAGGUGGUCUUAUAUCUGUCACUCCCACUGACCUUUGGAACAUGUGCUGGAGAUGCUUGCAGGUUUAGAAGCUUUGAGACUUAUACUGGUAUGCUAGCACAUGCAUUUUGGUAAAUAUCAAACUGUAGCCACUGCCUGAUCACAUUGGAUUUUGCAUAUCAAGACCAACUGCUUCAACAAAAUAAUUAACCUUGAUCCCAGAAAUCAGAAGAGGUAUUACCAUAUAUGAGGUCAAGGUUUUAUUUUUUGAUACUCCCUUGCCAGGUUGUAUGGCGGAGGAACAAAUGACCCAAGCAUGAAUGGAAAAGGCAUGAAGACUCUGAGAACAGGUGUCUCAGAGAGAAGAAUCUGAGCCAUCAUUACUGGAUAAGUCACUUAGCUAUCACAUAUCCCAACCAAGGGGUUUAAGAAUGGAUGAUACCAGUGAGACCUGAAAGGUUUCUGCUAUAGUCUGAGGAAUAGCUGCAAUCGUAGUGGCCGCAGCUCACUCCACUAAUACUCUUUUGAGUUUCCCUAGCAAAAGAUGACCACCAGAGUCCUGAAGACUAAGGGUGUUAAAAAGGGAAGCCAAGCAAGGCCAACAGAAAUAUCUGCAGAAUUCUAACCACUGUGUCCUUUGGUUGCUGAUUAUUAUUGUCAGGUGAACAUGGUCUCUGUACCCAAGAGAAUGUCUCCUGCCCAAGACCAGCCUUCAUUGAGUGACUGGAAGAUACUGAGAUAUGAUGGACUUCCCUCAACAUUCUAUGGAAUUACUUUAAAGGCCUCACAGGAUGUGCUGGGAUAUUCUUUGUGAUUGUAUAUUUCUUUCACCCUCGGGUGUUGAUUUCCAGGGUAUUUCCAAUAAACUUUGUGUGCACAA